rnacentral:lncRNA from 1 species
GAUGCAGGGGCCGAAACCCUGCCCGGGGCCCGGUGACCGCGGGAGGGUUGUCUGAAGACGUCCCGGGACUCGGCAGAAGACGGCCCGAUCGGAGCGAGCGGCCGGCGCUGGUCAGCCCUUGCUGGCCCUGGUGAUGAUUAUUUUACCUCUUUGAAAACAGAUGUGUAAUUCAUUCAGCCCAGUACCGCGCUGUGCGAGAACUUUUCUCACUGUAGCCCAAACCAGAAACCAGGUUUUGGUCCCCUCAAAACCAGUCAAAGUACCUCUUGAUCUGGCAAUAAUUGAUUCCCUUCACAUCAACCCAAUCUGGCUGAGAUCCUUUAGGGCCUGCCUCCUUCCCAUUCCUUGGGAGACCGGCGAUUGGGGUCUCAACUUUCUGAUGAGAUCCAAGGCAGUGUGGAUGAAGAAGGGAGUGGAGAAGGAUACGUACAUCUCUGCGUCUCUACUGUAUCUCUUAGUGACCGUCUCCAGGGAGAAUAUAAUUUUGUCCUCAAAUGACCAGGAAGAUUUUCUAUCUGCUCAUCUCCUGUCCCUGCGUUUUUCUCCUGUUUUCUCUACUUGAUUCACUGUCGGUCUCCCUAGCGGGAAAAGAAUGUUUUGUUCUCUGUGGUAUCCCAAGCGCCCUGAGACAGAGCAAGUACUCAGAUACAUAUUUGUUGAAUGAAUGUAUGAUUCAAAUGUGAUGAGAUCCAGCCCCCCGCCACCUCCCACCCCUCAAGCAUUUCCCACCCGUGAGUUUCUUGCUGGACCCAAGCAGUGACAUUCAAGAGGGAAGGAGACACUUCACGACGAAUCAGUCCAGCC